AGUGAACGCUGGCGGUAGGCCUAACACAUGCAAGUCGAACGGCAGCACAGUAAGAGCUGCUCUUACGGGUGGCGAGUGGCGGACGGGUGAGGAAUACAUCGGAAUCUACUUUUUCGUGGGGGAUAACGUAGGGAAACUUACGCUAAUACCGCAUACGACCUACGGGUGAAAGCAGGGGAUCUUCGGACCUUGCGCGAUUGAAUGAGCCGAUGUCGGAUUAGCUAGUUGGCGGGGUAAAGGCCCACCAAGGCGACGAUCCGUAGCCGGUCUGAGAGGAUGAUCAGCCACACUGGAACUGAGACACGGUCCAGACUCCUACGGGAGGCAGCAGUGGGGAAUAUUGGACAAUGGGCGCAAGCCUGAUCCAGCCAUACCGCGUGGGUGAAGAAGGCCUUCGGGUUGUAAAGCCCUUUUGUUGGGAAAGAAAAGCAGCAGGUUAAUACCCCGCUGUUCUGACGGUACCCAAAGAAUAAGCACCGGCUAACUUCGUG
rnacentral:rRNA from 1 species